rnacentral:ribozyme from 1 species
AACCAAGCAAAACGAACCAAGCAAAAGCAAAAACAAAAACAAAAACAAAAAAAUCAAACAAAGAAACAAAGAAGGCAUCAUGGGCGUGCCUCCUUGUUUCCUCCUUU